rnacentral:rRNA from 1 species
AUUGAACGCUGGCGGCAUGCCUUACACAUGCAAGUCGAACGGUAACGCGGGGCAACCUGGCGACGAGUGGCGAACGGGUGAGUAAUGCAUCGGAACGUGCCCAUCAGUGGGGGAUAGCCCGGCGAAAGCCGGAUUAAUACCGCAUACGACCUGAGGGUGAAAGCGGGGGACCGUAAGGCCUCGCGCUGAUGGAGCGGCCGAUGUCGGAUUAGCUAGUUGGUGGGGUAAAGGCUGACCAAGGCAACGAUCCGUAGCUGGUCUGAGAGGACGACCAGCGACAAUGGGACGGAGACAGGGCCCAGACUCCUACGGUGGGCAGCAGUGGGGAGUUGUGGACAAGGGGCGGAAGCCUGAUCCGGCCAUUCCGCGUGCGGGAAGAAGGCCUUCGGGUUGUAAACCGCUUUUGUCAGGGAAGAAACGGUCUGAACUAAUACUUUGGACUAAUGACGGUACCUGGAGAAUAAGCACCGGCUAACUACGUGCCAGCCGCCGCCGUAACAC